rnacentral:rRNA from 1 species
GAUGAACGCUGGCGGCGUGCCUUAGGCAUGCAAGUCGAACGGGAAGUCUUCGGACUUCUAGUGGCGGAAGGGUGAGUAACGCGUGGGAACGUACCUAUUGGUGGGGAAUAGCUCGCCGAAAGGCGGGAUAAUUCUGCAUAAGACCGCAAGGUGAAAGGGCUUAACCGCCCGCCGAUAGAGCGGCCUGCGUCCUAUCAGCUUGUUGGUGAGGUAAAGGCUUACCAAGGCGAUGACGGGUAGCUGGGCUGAGAGGUCGGACAGCCACAAUGGAACUGAGACACGGUCCAUACAUCUACGGAUGGCAGCAACUAGGAAUCUUGGACAAUGGGCGCAAGCCUGAUCCAGCAAUGCCGCGUGCAGGAAGAAGGCCUUCGGGUUGUAAACUGCUUUUGUCAGGGAAGAAAUCCUCUAGGUUAAUACCCUUGGGGGGAUGACGGUACCUGAAGAAUAAGCACCGGCUAACUACGUGCCAGCAGCCGCCGUAA